GCUCCGGUGAUGAAACGGCAGACAUAUUACGCAUGGAACGUAAUGGCAUUUAUUGCCUUCUGGGUUCGAUUCCCAGCCGGAGCA
rnacentral:tRNA from 1 species